GAUGAACGCUGGCGGCGUGCCUAAUACAUGCAAGUCGAGCGAAGCUGGGACGGGUGAGUAACACGUGGAUAACCUCCUAUAAGACUGGGAUAACUUCUGGAAACCGUAGCUAAACCGGAUACUUAUCGUUGGCUCCGCUCUGCAUUGGCUAGUGGGUAGGGUAACGGUUUACCAAGGCAACGCUGCAUAGCCGACCUGAGAGGGGUAUCGGCCAACUGGGACCUGAGACACGGUCCAGACUCCUACGGGAGGCAGAAUUGGGGAAUCUUCGGCAAUGGGCGAAAGUCUGACGGAGCAACGCCGCGUGAGUGAUGAAGGUCUUCGGGUCGUAAAACUCUGUUAUUAGGGAGGCGGUACCUAAUCAGAAAGCCACGGCUAACUACGUGCCAGCCGCCGCGGUAAUAC
rnacentral:rRNA from 1 species